rnacentral:rRNA from 1 species
GACAGAGGGUGCAAACGUUGUUCGGAUUUACUGGGCGUAAAGCGCACGUAGGCGGACAUUUAAGUCAGGGGUGAAAUCCCAGAGCUCAACUCUGGAACUGCCUUUGAUACUGGGUGUCUUGAGUAUGGAAGAGGUGAGUGGAAUUCCGAGUGUAGAGGUGAAAUUCGUAGAUAUUCGCAAGAACACCAGUGGCGAAGGCGGCUCACUGGCCCGAUACUGACGCUGAGGCACGAAAGCGUGGGGAGCAAACAGG